rnacentral:tRNA from 1 species
GACUCUGUAACUCAGUUGGUUAGAGUACCACGUUAACAUCUCGACGUGGAAGCGGUGUCACCGUGGAAGUCCCCGGUUCAAGUCCGGGCAGGGUCA